rnacentral:rRNA from 1 species
GCACGGAAGUUAGCCGGGGCUUCUUCUGUUGGUACCGUCAUUAUCUUCCCGACUGGAAAGAUCUUUACAACCCUAAGGCCUUCAUCGAUCACGCGGAAUGGCUAGAUCAGGGUUUCCCCCAUUGUCUCAGAUUCCCCA